rnacentral:rRNA from 1 species
UACAGAGGGUGCAAGCGUUAAUCGGAAUUACUGGGCGUAAAGAGUGCGUAGGCGGUUCUCCAAGUCCGUUGUGAAAGCCCCGGGCUCAACCUGGGAAUGGCAGUGGAAACUAGGGGACUUGAAUCUGGCAGAGGGGGGUGGAAUGCCGCGUGUAGCAGUGAAAUGCGUAGAGAUGCGGAGGAACACCGAUGGCGAAGGCAGCCCCCUGGGCUAAGACUGACGCUGAGGCACGAAAGCGUGGGGAGCAAACAGG